rnacentral:lncRNA from 1 species
CUUGACGACCCAACAUGAGACUUUCCCUUCCAAUUUUGCUUUGGAGGACAUUUCCUCUUCUUCCCCUUCCUUUGACCAAUAGCCAGGACGAGAGCACUAGGAGGAUUGGAUUCAAUACUCUUUCCCUUCAUACAUGCUUAAGCUAUCUACAAGAGGUUGUGCAAUUGAGCCAAUGUGGUCUCAUUGUUUAGAUAUUAGGUCAAGACGAACUCAUCAUAACAACUUGUUAAGGAGUUCAAUACUAUGUCAUGUAGCACCCGUUUCCUGGUACGUAAAUGUUAUUUGAGUAUUUCCUUUCUUUUAGCCUUGGACUCGGCGAGUCAUAGGUCCGACUCGCCGAGUGGAUGCGGGACCCGGGACACGUUUAAGUUGGCGACUCGGCGAGUCCAUAUCCUGGACUCGGCGAGUCACAGCUGUUGGAUGAAACCCUAAGUUUCAGGGGUUUGCACCCUAUUUAAACGACUUAUCCGCCCCAACCUCGCCCCCAUUCACCCUCAGAUCCCUGUAUCUCUCUCUAGCCUUGCUUCAUUGUGAGUUUGAAGUGUUUUGUGGUGUUCUUGAAGUUUCUUUGAAGGAAAAGAAGAGGGAAUCAAGAAGAGGAGAAGGAGGCCAAGCAUCUCUGUGUCAUUCCAACGUUUCCCCUAAGGUAUAGCUCGUUUCCCCUAUGUUUUAAGCUUAUUGUCCCUUAUAGCUCCAUUAGAGUCCUUUUUGAGCCACUUCCAAGAUUGUGUAAGCUUGAGGGUUUGUAAUAAGUCGAUUGGCCUCUGGAUCUAGGCAAGAUUGAGCUCCAGGAGCUCAGAUAUGUUAGCUUUAUGGCCCCAUGUUGCUUGUUCACCCUAGAUCUACCCUUUUGAGACACUUUGAGCCCUAAAAUCCAUAUUGGUGAAUAUCCACACGUAAAGUUGGAAACUUUACGUGUGAUUCGUGUCCUAGAAGUCCAGAUCUGUGAAUGACAUGGACUGGAAUCGAGCAAAUCUGUGUAUUUAGUGGGUGCAUGGCAACGACUCGGCGAGUCGUUCAUAUGACUCGGCGAGUCUGUUCGCGAGUCUCCGAGUUUGUCCCCUUUUCGUAGUGUCGAGUGAGCAGUGAGUCACGGGGUGUGACUCAGUGAGUCGGAAGCUGAACUCAUCUAUGGAGGUACUCGGCGAGUCAAUUCCCUGACUCGGCGAGUUCAAGGCAAUCUCCUUAGAUCAAGAACAGACUCGGNCGUUAGAGGACAUUCAGCUUGAUGACAGCCUGAAUUACAUUGAGCGCCCAAUCGCAAUCCUCGAUAAGAAGUCGAAGGAUUUGAGGAAUAAGAGGGUGGAGCUAGUGAAGGUGCAAUAGCAGCACCGCAAGGGGUCGGAAUGGACUUGGGAGCCGGUGGACGAGAUGAUGGAGCAUUAUCCCGAGCUGUUUCAGGAUCGAGCAGCAGACUUCGAGGACGAAGUCUAAAAUAAGUGGGGGAGAUUUGUAGCACCCGGUUCCUGGUACGUAAAUGUUAUUUGAGUAUUUCCUUUCUUUUAGCCUUGGACUCGGCGAGUCAUAGGUCCGACUCGCCGAGUGGAUGCGGGGCCCGGGACACGUUUAAGUUGGCGACUCGGCGAGUCCAUAUCCUGGACUCGGCGAGUCACAGCUGUUGGAUGAAACCCUAAGUUUCAGGGGUUUGCACCCUAUUUAAACGACUUAUCCGCCCCAACCUCGCCCCCAUUCACCCUCAGAGCCCUGUAUCUCUCUCUAGCCUUGCUUCCUUGUGAGUUUGAAGUGUUUUGUGGUGUUCUUGAAGUUUCUUUGAAGGAAAAGAAGAGGGAAUCAAGAAGAGGAGAAGGAGGCCAAGCAUCUCUGUGUCAUUCCAACGUUUCCCCUAAGGUAUAGCUCGUUUCCCCUAUGUUUUAAGCUUAUUGUCCCUUAUAGCUCCAUUAGAGUCCUUUUUGAGCCACUUCCAAGAUUGUGUAAGCUUGAGGGUUUGUAAUAAGUCGAUUGGCCUCUGGAUCUAGGCAAGAUUGAGCUCCAGGAGCUCAGAUAUGUUAGCUUUAUGGCCCCAUGUUGCUUGUUCACCCUAGAUCUACCCUUUUGAGACACUUUGAGCCCUAAAAUCCAUAUUGGUGAAUAUCCACACGUAAAGUUGGAAACUUUACGUGUGAUUCGUGUCCUAGAAGUCCAGAUCUGUGAAUGGCAUGGACUGGAAUCGAGCAAAUCUGUGUAUUUAGUGGGUGCAUGGCAACGACUCGGCGAGUCGUUCAUAUGACUCGGCGAGUCUGUUCGCGAGUCUCCGAGUUUGUCCCCUUUUCGUAGUGUCGAGUGAGCAGUGAGUCACGGGGUGUGACUCAGUGAGUCGGAAGCUGAACUCAUCUAUGGAGGUACUCGGCGAGUCAAUUCCCUGACUCGGCGAGUUCAAGGCAAUCUCCUUAGAUCAAGAACAGACUCGGCGAGUUGUUCAUACAACUCGGCGAGUCUUAGCAUAAGUGUUCAUCGGAUGAAGAUGAACUCGACGAGUUGUUCAUACAACUCGGCGAGUAGGAUGAAGGACUUGAAUAUCGGUUUAGAAGGUGAACUCGUCGAGUCGUCGCCUAACUCGACGAGUAGGAUCGGGAUUCAGGGCAAUCGUUUGGGUAGGGACUCGGCGAGUUGGAAAGCCAACUCGGCGAGUCGGGUCAACUGAAAGUUGACUCUGACUUUGACUUAGGGCAUGGUCAGGGGUA